GAGAGAGAGAGAGAGAGAGAGAGAGAGAGUGUUGUGCUGGUCGUCAUGGUGAAGGGCGAGCUACAACCAACAUACGGGCAGAGAUCAAUGUUUUCCCGCCACUUCCCUCUGUUGUGAGCCGAGUACCGCCCAGCCCGCCCGUGUACCGCCCAGCCCGCCCAAAUACCGUCCAGCCCGCCCGAGUACCGUCCAGCCCGCCCAAAUACUGCCUAAAGCAUGGCAGGGAAGCAGGAAGGAGGAAAGGCGAAGAAAGGAGGAGGA